UGAGGAGUCAUUGGAAAUUAUCGUGAACUUCUUUUCCCGGAGAAGAAGCAGUGACGGUAUCUGGGGGAACAGGCAUCGGCUGACUCUGUGCCAACAGCUGCGGUAAUACAGAGGAUGC
rnacentral:ncRNA from 1 species